rnacentral:rRNA from 1 species
AAUCAACGCUGGCGGCGUGCCUCAGACAUGCAAGUCGAACGAUUAAAGCUCUCUUCGGAGAGUGUAUAGAGUGGCGCACGGGUGAGUAACACGUAAGUAAUCUACCCUCGAGUGGGGAAUAACAACCGGAAACGGUUGCUAAUACCGCAUAAUGCAGCGGCACCGCAAGGUGACAGUUGUUAAAGAUUUAUCGCUUGAGGAGGAGCUUGCGGCAGAUUAGCUAGUUGGUAGGGUAACGGCUUACCAAGGCUACGAUCUGUAACCGGUCUAAGAGGACGGUCGGUCACACUGACACUGAAUAACGGGUCAGACUCCUACGGGAGGCAGCAGUCGGGAAUUUUGGGCAAUGGGCGAAAGCCUGACCCAGCAACGCCGCGUGAAGGAUGAAGUAUUUCGGUAUGUAAACUUCGAAAGAAUAGGAAGAAUUAAUGACGGUACUAUUUAUAAGGUCCGGCUAACUACGUGCCAGCAGCCG